UGACACCUUUGUGAUGUCAGCAGCCUCAGGAGACUGCCUGGCUGAGGGAGGGAGAGUCCUGCCUCUCCUUCUGGGUGGUGUGGGGGUGUUGUGUGUGUCUCGGCAAGGAAGCUGAAUAGAAAAACAACUUUCCUAAGCUCAAAGAAUGAAUGGCAAAGCCAGCAACCGUUGACUCGUCGAUGCCUGAGGCUGACUCUCAACCUGAGCCCUUCUCCACAAGACCCCAAGUGUCCAAGUAUCAGAGGCAGGCUCACUAACCUAUCGUGGGGCUCAAAUAGCCCCUGCUUCAUGGAUCACGCUGUCUACCUUCCUGGAGAGCUUGCUUCGGAUAAAUGUCUCUCCACUUCCCAAACUAGGAAGGAUGGAAAGGUAUUUACACUUUCAGUAACCUGCGUAUGGAUCCCACUGCUAUUUAAUUAAGACUUAAACCUAUAAAGAUGCACAUUUAAUACUCAGAGUAAACCCUUGACUUGUUUCCUUUGAAGAUAAACAGAGAGCGAGAGUGAGUGAGGGAGGGGCAAAGGGAGAGGAAGAGAGAAUCUCAAGCAGGAUCCACACCCAGUGCAAAGCCUGAUGCAGGGCUCAAUCCCAGGACCCCAGGAUCACGACUUGAGCCGAAAUCGAGAGUGGGAUGCUCAACCGACUGAACCACCCAGACAAGAAGAGAGAUCUCUUAUUUCUCAUCGGAGGGAGAUACAAAAGAAGGUUGCUGGCAGAUAGAGAGCCAAUUCUUAAUCACUGAGAGAGAGGCUAGCUGAAGACCUAACAUCCUAAGGAAGGCUCUCCAGAUACAGGCACUCUGCCUCCUGCCUUCUAGGUUAGAGGAAAAAAAGAUCCUUCGGCUGCUAAGGUGAAGAUAGCAUUUAGGAUGCAGAAAUGGGACUUGGAAGUACUCCUGAUUCCUUUUAGGGAAGAAAAGGUCCAUCUCGGCUUACCUCAUUGCUAAGAAGAAAAAUAAGCAUUUGUUCAGCAAUAAUAAUGUGUGAGGUGCCUGAAAGAGCCCUGAAUCAGGCUAAAUAAUUUCUUCCUUCCUUUAGAAAAUAAAAAACAGCUUGCCCGAUUUCUCUUCCAAUUUAUUCUUGUGGCUUUCCAUUCCUUUGGAAAUCCGGAGGAUGCCUAUUUUAUGAGCUUUUGUGGACCAGCCCUUCAAUACUCAGGGAGGGUGUCCUUGUGUGCAUUAAGCUGGGUCUUUAAGAUUAAUGCAAUAUGCAGGAACAUGUGAUCAAUGAUAUGGCAUUAGCAACUUUUACUUUGGCAAGUGGCUGCAUGUUGAAGGCAUCUGGAAAAAUUGUAAAUCACAGCAUGACCAGAGCAUCAGCCACAGACAUCAAGACAGGGGAAUGGUCAAGUGAGAAGGAUGGACCUAGAGCCUCCUGGGUUGUCCACACAGGUAUUGCUAGAGACAGAGAAGGAUGUAAGGAUGUCCCAGCAUAGAGGGGCUAGAGGACACAAAUCUGUUGGUACCCAUAAAGGGAAUCAAUAUGGAGAAGAGUCUCCAUACACAGGUAGAAGGGUAGAUUAGACAAUCUCCAAGGUUCUGUCCAACUCAAAUUUUGAUUCCAUGACUCUCUAAAUAAGGACUUAAUGAGUUUUUUCAAUAGGCUCUAAUAUCUCAUAGACCAAUGGAGUCCUUAGCUACACACACACACACACACACACACACAUAUAAAUUAUAUACAAUGUAACUAUAUAAUAUACUAAAAUAUAUUAAAAAUAUAAAUAUAUUAUGUUUGAUUCAUAUAUAAAAUGUAUAUAUUAUGUAAUUAUUAAAGCUCAGAAAGAUAUAUAUUUAUAUAUAAUAUAUAAAUAUAUAUAAUAUCACUAUAUAACAUACAAAUAUACAUAUAAAGUAUAUAAACAUAUAAUUAAAUAGUAUAUAAUUAUAUAAACAUAAUUAUAUAAUAUAUAUAAUUUUCAUGAGCUUUAAUACUUUACAUUUGUGUAGUACUUUACAGUUUGUGGGGAUUUAAUCUCACAGACUCUAUUGGUUAUCUGUUGCCACAAUGAUGCCACAUAACAAAGAGCUCUGCAAUGUCAGUGCCAUACGACAACAAGUGUUUAUUGCUCACAUGUCUGUAGCUUUGCGGUCUUGUCUAGGCUUGCUCACAUAGCUGGACAUUGGGUGGCUGUCGGUUGAUCUAGGAUGGCCUCAAGCUGAGGUGACUUGGGUGUCUCCUAGCUUUCAACAAGCUAACCCAGACAUGUCCUCCUGUGGCAGAGAGGGUGAUAGAAGAGGCAAAAGAGAGCAAGCGGAAACUUGCAAGGCCUCAUUUAUUCCUAUACUGGCCAGAGGAAGUCACAGGGCUGAACUCGGUGUCAAGGUGUGGGGGACUGUGCUCCAUUCUUUUUGUUAGAGCGGCUGCAGAAUCACCUAGGAAAGGCUGUAGAUAUAGGUGAAGUAGCAAUCUACCACACAGAUGUGGCCUUGCUUAAUCCUGUCGGUGUCAUCCUUUACCCUGGUAUUAUUCCUGCUUUUACAGAUUAAAACAUGGACACCAAAGAGGUCAGCAACUUAUACGAGGCCACAUGGAUCAUAGGAACUGGAAUAUUGGCUUUCCUGCUAUAAAAUCAAGGCACUUUCUGUUGUUCUACACCAUGCUUAAUUAAAAGCAUGAAUCCCAGGAGUGUUGUCAGGGACUUCCUAGAGGUAGACUGGUAAAGUGUGAGGCCCUCAAUGUUGCGUGAGUUGCAGAAUACACAAACUUUUACUUAUCUGUUCUAAUCCUUCUAUGUAAAAUAUGAUGCUUUAACAAAAUAAUAUAUGGACCCAAGGAAUUUACUAGUCAUCUAAACAUUAGUUUCUUUGUAACCAGAUAGUUACUUCCUGUAUUUGUCAGAGUAGGCUAAAUGCUGUGACUAAGUACCCCUAAAUCUUAGUGAUGUAGGAAAAAGUUUAUUUCUUGCUCAUAUUGGCCAGAACUCUGGCACAUGGCCACAUCUAAUAAUAAAGAAGACUGGUAAAUAUAAUAUAACUGUAUGGAGAAAAGAGGAUAUUGAUAAAUACUUAGCAAGACUCAAAGGAAUGGACCAUAGUAUAGGUAAGUUUUGCAGGGAGACUAGGAGGUAUGUGGUAGGUGAUGGAAGACGUAACAAAGGAAGAUGGGACAGAAAAGCCCAUAGCUUGAGACUCUAUCCAAGGAAAUGUGUAGACCAUUGGAUCUAAGACAUUUUGCACAAAUAUACUCUCUUGUCAGUAGGUGGGAUGACAAUUAGGAAUUUAAGAAUUUAAAUCUGAUUAUGUCACUCCUCUGCUUAAAAGCCUUCAAUGUUUACCCUAAGAAUAGACGGUUGAUGUGUGUUACACAGUCUUCCAAAAUGUAUCCUCUGUCUCUCCAGCCUUAUCUGCUAUACCUUCCCAUUCACUUUUUUUUUAAUGUGAGGAUCUCUCAUCUAUAGGCCAUUAAUCAUGCUAUUUCUUCCAUCUGUUCAGAAUCUUCUUUUCUGAAACCCCCUUCUCAACCAUUCUUUUUCUGGCUGAGACCUACUCGUUUGUCAGUUCUCAGCUUAAAAAUUACACCCUCCCAACAACCAAAGGUAGGUCCAAAAUUAAAACACCAAACCACAGAUCUAAGAACCUGAGAGAACACCAACAGAGAACACCAAACAGCAUAAAUACCAAAACACAAACACAUCUAUACACAUCAUUCAAAAUGUUAAAAGCCAAGAGAUAUUAUUUUUUUAGAUGUUUAUUUAUUUUUGAGAGAGAGAGAGAGAGAGAGAGAGAGAGAGAGAGCAAGCAGGGGAGGAGCAGAGAGAGGGAGACAGAAUCCCAAGGAGGAUCCAUGCUUUAGCACAGAGCCUGAUACAGGGCUCAAACCCACAAACUGUGAGAUCAUGACAUGAACUGAAACCAAGAGUUGAAUGCUUUACUGACUGACCUACUCAGGCACCUCAAGCCAAGAGAUAUUCUUGAAGGCCCCUGAGAAAAAAAAGACACGUUGCACUUAGAUAACAGUUAUGGCAGGCUUCUCAUCACAAACUAUACAAGCCAGAAGACAAUGGAGUAGCAUUCUUACAUUUCUGAAAGAAGAAAAUGUCAACCCAGAAUUCCAUACCCAGCAAAAAUAUCUUUUGAAGAUUAGGAAGAAAUAAAAAAAUCUCAUUGGACAAAUAAAAACUGAACUAAUUUACUUUUAGCAGACUUAGAAGUACAAUAAAUGUUAAAGGAAUUUCCUCAAGAAAAUAAAAAUGAUACCAGACAGACUCUUGGAUCUACACAAAGAAAUGAAGAGCACUGGAAAUGGAAUAAAUGAAGAUAAAUUUAAAUGCAUUAUUUCUUCAAAUAUUUUUCUGCCAUGUUUUCUUCUUCUGGGAUCCCAAAUAUAUGCAUAUUAGACUCUUCAAUAUUGUCCCACAGUUCUUGGGUGCCUUUUUUUUUUUUUUUGGGCUCUUUUUUCCUUUGGGUUUUCCUUUGGGUAAUUUCUAUUGACCUAUCUUUAAACUUACUUAUUAAUUCCCUUAUUCAUUUCAAGUCUAUGAUGUGCCCAUUGGAAACAUUCUUUAUCUCUGUGACUAUGGUUUUCAUUUCUAGCAUUUUCAUUUGAUUCUUUUUUACAGUUUCUCUCUCUUAGUGGAAGUUACCCAUCUCAUCAUGUAUGUUUUUCAUUUUUUCCACUAGAGCCUUUUACCAUAAUAAUCAUAAGUAUUUAAAAAUUCCCUGUUUGGUGGUUCUGACAUGUGUGUCACAUCUGAGUCUGGUUCUAUGGAUUGCUUUGCCUCUUGACAAUGUUUUUGUUGUUCUUGUUUCCUUGCAUACCUUGUAAUUUUUUGAUGAAAGCCAGACAUCUUGUCUAGGGUAUUAGAGACUGAGUUAAAUAGUUGUUACCCCUGGAAAUGGACAUUUUUUCCUAUUCUUAGCAUUUAGUGUGGAGGGUUGAAUCAGCCUAAUUAAGAGUUGGAAACCAGUUUGGGAUUUGUCGUUGCUAUGGUUACUUUCAUUAUAACACAGUUUUAAACUCCUUUGGUGUUGGGCGCCUGGAUGGCUCAGCCGGUUAAGUGUCUGACCAGUUUAGGUCAUGAUCUUGUGGUCCAUGAGUUCGAGUCCUGUGCCAGGCUCUGUGCUGACAGCUCAGAGUCAGGAGCCUGCUUCAGAUUCUGUGUCUCCCUAUGUCUCUGCCUCUCUCUCUGUCUCAAAAAUAAAUAAAAACAUUAAAAAUUUUUAAAUUUCUCUGGUGUUUAGGGUGGUGGCUGGUUUGUUGGAAGGUUUUCUCCCCACGGUGUCUGCUCUACCUUUGGGUGUAGAUCUUCCUUUUGCCCUGUGCUUCCAUGGGGGUUUCUCACCACGAUUUUGCACCUCUUUCAGCAGUAGAGUACUAUCAGUAGUUACUAGAUGCUUAUUAGCCUGGUGGGGGGUGGGGAGCAUUCUCUGAUGUUCUGAUUAAGUCUCCAUUGUAGCCAGGCCUUGUGUCUCUACAUCUUGGAGGUGGUGCUUUCUUAGUGGUUUUCCUUUACCUUUAACUAUAGGUCUGGGUCCAGAACAUAUUCCUGCUCCUUCCCAAGACUAUAGAGCUGCUCCCCUGCCUUUCCCCAGCUACAAUAGCUUUUCACCAGUGUCCUAGGAUUGACAGGGUUUGUUGCCCUUCUGCCAAUAUUUCCAAGCUAGAUUUGAUAGGAGAUAAGAAUCUAAGUGGAAUUUCAGACAUUUCCCACAGUGUCUGCUACUUCUUUCUCCCAGGCCUGCAGCGCAUAGGAUGCUGCCUGAAGACUCGUGUCCUAUUCUCCAUCUUUUUUGUGUAUCCUUAAUGAGGUCUGUGGAGGAAAACCUGUUAGAGGGUGUGAAUUUGCCUUUGUCUGUGUCCCAAGGGGUUCUAUAGCCUCUUGCUGGUCUAAGCUCAGCCUUUAGCAAUUUGUUGAAAUUUUUGUUGAUUUUUAUUCUUUGUUUAUAUAUUUAUUUUUGAGAGAGAGAGAGAGAGAGAGAGAGCGCACACAUGAACUGGAGAGGGACAGAGAGAGAGGGAGUGAGAGAAUUCCAAGCAGGCUCCAUGUUCUCAGUGCAGAGCCUGACAUGGGGCUCAAUCACAUGAACCACGAAAUCAUGACCUGACCUAAAAUCAAGAGUCUGAUGCUUAACAGACUAACCCACACAGGUGUGCCAAUUUGUUGAAAUUUUUAGCUGAAUUAGUCUUAUCUGGGUCCAGCGGCACUGGCCCCAGAUAAUCAAGUGCUUAUAUUUGUCUCUCUCUGGAGGUUCCUGUAGUUUCCUUGGGUUUGGGGUUAGCUGACUGUCUUUCAGUCCCAGAUCUCUGAUGGGUCAAGAAAGGUGAAUUUGCAGAUUAUUCAGCUUUUCUUUUUCUUGAUGUAAUGGUAGGAGUGAUGUUCUUUCCAGUUUUCUACAUCCUAAGUGGGAAGCUAACACAUAAUUCUU